rnacentral:misc_RNA from 1 species
CAACUGUGUAUGGUAUACAUAUACUUGAAAGUGCUAAGUGCUAACUAAAAGAUACUUCCACUCUGAAUUAAUGAUUUUGAUUCUUGAUGUCUGCCUUCUUAGUGUGUUAUUUCAAAGCUGUUUCAAGUGAUUGAACAUGGUAUGGAUAUACAUGAAACUGCAAAAUAAAAGAUGUUUUCCACCCGUAAAAAAACUAACCCAUCGAACAGUUCGGUGUAUUUUACAUGCAACUAUCUCCAUGUAUUAUUUCCAGAGAAAGGGAAAACCAUCUAUAGAUAACGUAAGGAUGCUAGCUUCUGGAGGUUUUCUAAUGUCAAAGCUAUCUUCCUUCCCAACUUCAUUUCCUGCCUGGCCCAAUGAUUUGCUUCUCUUAUUUUCUCCAUGCCCCUAGUUUGUCGAUGUUACAAGGGAAUGACUUCAACAUGUAACAGUGGCUAACCUCCACAUACCUUAUUCGUGGCAUCACCCGCUGCACCAUCUCCCACUCUGCAUGCAACCUUGCUAGGAAUUUCAGACAUAGGCCCUCAACCUUCCAAGUGGUGCCAUUUGUACCCUCAAAACUGGGGCCCAGGGAAUUUAGGUCUCCAUUUUCAAUGCAAAGAUAUUGCAAAUGACAGAGUGAUGCAGGAUUCAUCCAUUGUGGCAGAAAUGUGCCAUGGUAGUGCCUUAGGUACAACUCUUCAAGAUGUGGAGGAGGAGAUAGUCUAUCCAGCUUCUGAAAAAUGUCUUCUUUCUCACAUCCUUCAGCGUUAAUAGAUAAAACCUUAAGUUGUUUGAGACGUAAUAGGACUGUUAAUUCUUCUUCUGCAAUUUCACUUUCUUCACAUAUAUUUAUUCUUAAUGCUCUGAGUUGAACAAAUUUUGGAGCUUACUUGUCUACAGACAUCCUUGUUAGCGCCACCCACUAAUUUGAAUCCAGACAGCUCUUGGAGAUUUGAGAGCCUUACUGUUCCCUGGCAAAUUUGUCCAAUGAGCCGGUACCCUGUAUCCAAGACUGUCAGCUUCUGCAAGGCUAUAAUGGAUGAGGGCAGUUUUUGUAUUUUGCACCCUGACAAAACCAAAAGCUGGAGGUUUUGGAGCUUUCCAAUUGAAUAUAGCAGUUCCUUUAGGGCAGAAACCCCCAUAGAUUCAGAUAUGAUAGGCGUUCAAGGGAACUGAUCCAAUUCAAUAGGUCAUCCAUGCUAGCAUUCUCUAGUCUAUUUUGUAAGAAAUCCAACACCAUGAAGAACUUAACUUGAAACAUUCCAUUAUUCCUCUUAAUUUGAAUUGUGGAUCUUGUCAUUAUCAGCAAUGGCUGGAGCUUUGACUUUCUGUUCAGUGCUUGUUUCACAUGUAAA